rnacentral:tRNA from 1 species
GAGAGCGGAUGUGGCCUGGUGGCUGUCCUGGUCUUCAAAACCAGCGGACGGGGUGACGAGCUUCGUCGGUGGGUUCGACUCCCACGCGCUCUCG